CCUACGGGAGGCAGCAGUGAGGAAUAUUGGACAAUGGCCGUAAGGCUGAACCAGCCAAGUAGCGUGAGGGAAGACUGCCCUAUGGGUUGUAAACCUCUUUUAUGCGGGGAUAAAGGUGUCCACGUGUGGAUGUUUGCAGGUACCGCAUGAAUAAGGACCGGCCAAUUCCGGGCCAGCAGCCGCGGUAAUACGGAAGGUCCGGGCGUUAUCCGGGUUUAUUGGGUGUAAAGGGAGCGUAGGCCGGUCUUUAAGCGUGCCGUGAAAUUUUGUGGCUCAACCAUGGGAGUGCGGCGGGAACUGGGGGCCGUGAGUGGGCGGGAGGCAGGCGGAAUUCGGGGUG
rnacentral:rRNA from 1 species